GACGAACGCUGGCGGCAUGCCUAAUACAUGCAAGUCGAGCGAACAGAUGAAGUGCUUGCACUUCUGACGUUAGCGGCGAACGGGUGAGUAACACGUAAGGAAUCUACCUAUAAGCGGGGGAUAACAUUCGGAAACGGGUGCUAAUACCGCAUAAUAUCUUCUUCCGCAUGGAAGAAGAUUGAAAGACGGCUCUGCUGUCACUUAUAGAUGACCUUGCGGUGCAUUAGUUAGUUGGUGGGGUAACGGCCUACCAAGACGAUGAUGCAUAGCCGACCUGAGAGGGUGAUAGGCCACAUUGGGACUGAGACACGGCCCAAACUCCUACGGGAGGCAGCAGUAGGGAAUCUUCCGCAAUGGGCGAAAGCCUGACGGAGCAAUGCCACGUGAGUGAAGAAGGCCUUCGGGUCGUAAAACUCUGUUAUAAGAGAAGAACAAAUUGUAGAGUAACUGCUACAGUCUUGACGGUAUCUUAUCAGAAAGCCACGGCUAACUACGUGCCAGCCGCCGCGGUAA
rnacentral:rRNA from 1 species